GACGAACGCUGGCGGCGUGCUUAACACAUGCAAGUCGAACGGAAAGGCCCUGCUUUUGUGGGGUGCUCGAGUGGCGAACGGGUGAGUAACACGUGAGUAACCUGCCCUUGACUUUGGGAUAACUUCAGGAAACUGGGGCUAAUACCGGAUAGGAGCUCCUGCCGCAUGGUGGGAGUUGGAAAGUUUCGGCGGUUGGGGAUGGACUCGCGGCUUAUCAGCUUGUUGGUGGGGUAGUGGCUUACCAAGGCUUUGACGGGUAGCCGGCCUGAGAGGGUGACCGGCCACAUUGGGACUGAGAUACGGCCCAGACUCCUACGGGAGGCAGCAGUGGGGAAUAUUGCACAAUGGGCGGAAGCCUGAUGCAGCAACGCCGCGUGCGGGAUGACGGCCUUCGGGUUGUAAACCGCUUUCGCCUGUGACGAAGCGUGAGUGACGGUAAUGGGUAAAGAAGCACCGGCUAACUACGUG
rnacentral:rRNA from 1 species